GUGAGGAAUAUUGGUCAAUGGGCGGGAGCCUGAACCAGCCAAGUCGCGUGAAGGAAGAAGGAUCUAUGGUUCGUAAACUUCUUUUGCAGGGGAAUAAAGUGCAGGACGUGUCCUGUUUUGUAUGUACCCUGAGAAUAAGGAUCGGCUAACUCCGUGCCAGCAGCCGCGGUAAUACGGAGGAUCCGAGCGUUAUCCGGAUUUAUUGGGUUUAAAGGGUGCGUAGGUGGUUUGAUAAGUCAGCGGUGAAAGUUUGCAGCUUAACUGUAAAAAUGCCGUUGAAACUGUCGGACUUGAGUGUAAAUGAGGUAGGCGGAAUGCGUGGUGUAGCGGUGAAAUGCAUAGAUAUCUCGCAGAACUCCGAUUGCGAAGGCAGCUUACUAAGCUACAACUGACACUGAAGCACGAAAGCGUGGGGAUCAAACAGGAUUAGAUACCCUAGUAGUCC
rnacentral:rRNA from 1 species